ensembl:lncRNA
AGAAAACUGGCUAGCUCAGAGUCCACUUACGUAUACUCUGUGUACAGGCAGGCCUUAACUUUAAGUGGACAAUAUCGAAUCCCCUUUUCUAUGUCUUUCUUUUAGCGUAUUUUAAAGUUUACAAGGUUACUUAUGCCAAUCGCCCCAAGCAGGGUCUGUGAAUGGUGCAUGGGAGGCACGUGGUGUCAUUUAAGUGGGUUUUAUGGCCUGGAAGAGCUGACAAACCUUCGAUAUAUACACAUCAUAUAUAAUCUUAACUGUCCGGAAUCGCAGCUGCUGGCUUAGCCUUAUCGGAGUAAGAAAGGGCUUUUGUGGCAGUGAGGGUGCACCUUUCUCCGGACUGUAUGCUAGGCGGAUGGUAUUGGGGCAAUACUGGAGUAGCUGUAAGAAAUAAAGAUGGGGCGAAAUGAGGGGAAUGGUAUCAAGGAUCUACCUAUUCGACGCCCAGGUGUCACGUUGGAAGGUUGUCUAUUUUUACCCAAUGGAAUAUAAAGCUUGAUUCCGAAAUCUAUUUGGUCAAAUAGUUCCAUGACAAAGAUGUGAACGAAUUGCAUACGGAUCUUGGGAUCUUGAGCUCCACAUGGGAAGAGUGGCAUCAAGACUAAAGUCGACCAAUAAACCAUAGCUGCAGGGCAUUUCUUUUUUGUAAUGUUGAUUGUUACUGUUAAUAUUGGUUCCAACUUAAAAUAUAACGUACUAUGACACCGUGAUUUGCACCUAGGCCAAACCUACCAUUCAAUUUCCACCUUCUGCAUUCUGCAUUUGUCCUACUGGAAUCGUGGCUCGUGCGGUUCGGUUAUUUACACGUUGGACGGGUUUGUCUCCACCCCGGGCUAUCAUAACUUCCCUUAGAAUACUGGAAAGCCUACCAUUUUCACCCACUAGGGAAGAGUAAAAGUUAAAGGGCUAUUAGGGUUUACGUGCUGAUUAAAAGUGUAUCAUAAACAUUUUCAUCAGGGUUGCUUAUUGCUCUGUAGCCCACUGCAAAGCAAUAAAUGAACUGUCUCAUUCCAGGUUAGGUCUGUAACCAGGACUUGUUAACCAAUGUAAUACAUUGGGCCUAGCCCCUUUAAGAUCCCAAAUGUAUUUAGUUGAUGUAGUUUACACAUGCAUACUUGUGUAAACAUGCUUGUAUAGCCGUUAUUCUGCAGGAAAAUGGAAGCUAUGCUAUUUCUCAAAUGAAUAAAUGAAACAUCAAAUUAGGCCUGAGGGCCUAUUUUUUUCCACUUCUACAUUAUAACUAGUUAUUGAACUAGGUGCACAAUCUGAAAGCCAUUUGUGGGAUGAAAGAAUUCAUUGCAGUUUCUCCAUCAAUAAUCCUUGGCAGUGAACUAUUGGAAGCAGUCACACGCGAGGGGUGAGACGCAGGUCAGGCUGUCUAACUAAUAUUAAAAUGCGCCCACAAAAAUAGUAGGCCGAGGAAGGGGGUAUGGUAUGCAUGUAUGGGUUUUCUUUGGGUUAUAAAAACAACCAAACAAAAACAGACAAACAGACAAAUAUUUCAUGACUUGCAUGCCUAAACGAGCAACACAUCUGCUGGAUAUUUCGGGGUUGGUUCCCUGUAGAAGCCGUAUCCUCGCC